rnacentral:lncRNA from 1 species
UUUCAGGUUCUUCAGCUUUGCGUGUGGAAUCCGGCCUGGCUGCCACCUGUUUCUGGCUGGAGCCCCGGACACUGGCUCACUGCAGUUGGUGGUGUCAACAGAGCAGUAGGAGGCGGCCGGCAGCGGGAGCUUCUCCUGCUGGGCAGGAAGACGAGUAGAAGGGAGCGGCACAGACGCAUGCUGGAGGCUGGAGCCUGAGCCACCCCGGCUCGCCUCGCUGCGGUUGGUGGUGACUUCGGACACUGCAGCUCGGCCAGAGUGGUAGAAAUGUUCCGGUGUAGGCUUUUCUGGCUUUGCCCGUCUAGCUGCUCCAAGCCAGGCUGGAGGAGGAGGAGAAGGAAUCACCUGUGGUACGCUGGAGCCUGCAUAUGGUGUGACUCUGCAGCUUGCCUCAUGUGAUUGGUGGCAGCCACGGAGACUGCAGCUCGGCAGGAGUGAAUUAUCAGGAGUCACCAGACGCCACGGCAGCUUUGGGAUAACUUGAGGGCGCAUCCUGGGGAAGAAACACCUCCUGUCCGUGGCACUGACUGCUGAGGACAACGCUUCGGUGUGGCUUC